rnacentral:rRNA from 1 species
UACGGGGGGAGCAAGCGUUGUCCGGAUUUAUUGGGCGUAAAGAGCUCGUAGGCGGUCUGUCGCGUCUGCUGUGAAAACUCAGGGCUUAACCCUGAGCUUGCAGUGGGUACGGGCAGACUAGAGUGCGGUAGGGGAGACUGGAAUUCCUGGUGUAGCGGUGAAAUGCGCAGAUAUCAGGAGGAACACCGGUGGCGAAGGCGGGUCUCUGGGCCGUAACUGACGCUGAGGAGCGAAAGCAUGGGGAGCGAACAGG